CAGCCGCCGCGGGAAUACGUAGGUCCCGAGCGUUGUCCGGAUUUAUUGGGCGUAAAGGGAGCGCAGGCGGUUUAGUAAGUCUGAAGUUAAAGGCAUUGGCUCAACCAAUGUAUGCUUUGGAAACUGUUUAACUUGAGUGUAAGAGGGGAGAGUGGAAUUCCAUGUGUAGCGGUGAAAUGCGUAGAUAUAUGGAGGAACACCGGUGGCGAAAGCGGCUCUCUGGCUUGUAACUGACGCUGAGGCUCGAAAGCGUGGGGAGCAAACAGGAUUAGAUACCCCAGUAGUCCCUGUCUCUUAUACC
rnacentral:rRNA from 1 species